CUGGUAAAUAGUUGCUUCGGAAAGUGAGAAAGAAGAUCUAGGAAGCCCUAGAAGCAAAUAAACGACAUUUCUACUGAAGAAAUCAGUGAAUCGGAGACUGGACGGUGGAAUUGAAACUCUGAACUAGAUUAGAAAGUCAAAAUUGGUCGCAAUUGUGAUUCUUGACAAAGAAUGAAUUAGGGAUUUGGUUAUGGGAGGGAGAUUCCGAGCUUUUCCGAGUCUCUUGAGGAGAGAGAACGAAUCGGCUCAGGUGACGACUCGAAGAUUUACAAAGAGGAAAACGCUGAGAAUCGAGAGAGCUUUGGGUUUAAAAC
rnacentral:misc_RNA from 1 species